rnacentral:siRNA from 1 species
GAAUCCACAUUGAGGAGCACUCC